rnacentral:rRNA from 1 species
CGCCCUUAGAGUUUGAUCCUGGCUCAGGACUAACGCUGGCGGCGUGCCUAAUACAUGCAAGUCGAACGGUCGUGCGUUUGUAGCAAUAUGGACGUACGAUAGUGGCGAACGGGUGAGUAACACGUGGAAAACCUACCCUCGAGCGGGGGAUAACUCCGGGAAACUGGGACUAAUACCGCAUGACAUCCCAACCUGGCAUCGGGAGGGGAUCAAAGCCGAAAGGCACUUGAGGAUGGUUCCGCGGCCUAUCAGCUAGUUGGCGGGGUAACGGCCCACCAAGGCGACGACGGGUAGCCGGCCUGAGAGGGCGAUCGGCCACAAGGGGACUGAGACACGGCCCCUACUCCUACGGGAGGCAGCAGUAGGGAAUUUUGCUCAAUGGGGGAAACCCUGAAGCAGCGACGCCGCGUGGGCGACGAAAUCCUUCGGGAUGUAAAGCCCUUUUAACCGGGACGAAAUACAUGACGGUACCGGUGGAAUAAGCCUCGGCUAACUCCGUGCCAGCAGCCGCGGUAAGACGGGGGAGGCAAGCGUUGUCCGGAAUCACUGGGUGUAAAGGGCGUGUAGGCGGGCCGGCUAGUCGGUUGUUAAAUCUCUCCGCUCAACGGAGAAGCUGCGGCCGAUACUUCCGGUCUUGAGUGCGGCAGGGGAGGAUGGAAUUCCUGGUGUAGCGGUGAAAUGCGUAGAUAUCAGGAGGAACACCGGUGGCGAAGGCGGUCCUCUGGGCCUGCACUGACGCUGAGUGCGCGAAAGCUGGGGUAGCAAACAGAAUUAGAUACUCUGGUAGUCCCAGCCCUAAACG